UAUAUAUAUUAUUAUUUCAACAUUUUAAACGCAAAACAUGUAUCUAUGUACAUAGGUGCAUUAUUUGAAUAUUUAUAAGUAUGACUAACGAUUGGAAUACAGAUACAAGUGAUUUACAUGCUAAGAAGCGUUGAAGCGAUUAAACCGUAAUUGGUCGAUUGUAAUAGUUCAAUUUUAGCACGUUAUUGCCAGUUAGUGGUCACGCAUAUGCAUGCGAAGCUAUUUUCUAUUUCUAUGCACGGAACAAUGUUAAAGGUGGAGAAUGUUAAUUAAAGUAUCGAACGAGUUCAUCAUCGUGCCAGUCAUAAAUACGAGUUUACGAUCUCUCCGAGAAGAAAAGAAUUUGCAAAAGCACAAACGGUGUUUAACUCUCAUCGGGGAGCUUUGAAGACGAUGAUUAGAACCUUUACGGAUGGAAAAAUCGAAAGAAAACAAGUGAAAGUUGGUGUAAAAAUUAUGCGGUGCGCACUUGGCGGAUGACAAAAA